UUUGACUAAGCAUUUUGAAUGAUGUUGGGAUAUGUUUAGCACAUUUUUAAUUGGUAUGCUCUUUGCAGACAUGACAAUAGGUAGAGGUAUUGCGGAUCAGCCUAGUGGUCAUAGUAGAGGGAGAGUUUCUGCUGGUACCCCUGUGAAUUCUAGAUCCUCUCCCUCUAGUCCGACUACCCGAUGAUGUCACAGGUUGGGAGUGCAUCGGACCAGCCAUUCAUCAUGGUCCCUAAUCCCAACUACGUCCCUACGUCCUACGGUGACACUGCCGCCUCCAUCUGCUUAGUAGCUCACUGUCUCGGCGACGCCACCUCCAACAACGGACACCGCGGCGCUGGAAUCCUCUCAUGGAAGCCAGUCAACUGAUGCCCCCACCACCUCGCAUCAUACAUAUGACGAUUUGACCUGAUGGCGGAACGACGAAAGUUUACACCAAACAACAACGCAUGUACUCGAGAUGACCAACAUCAUCAACUUGAUAUACGACCAUCCAUGGCCGAACCACAAAAAAGAUCCCCUUUGAGAUCAGAGAGUGGUGGUUUUAGAAGUGGACGCUAAACUUUAUAUAGGACAAGGAGCACGAUGCCCUCAUUAAGAAAAUAUACGACCAUCGAAUGGGUAAGCAGUUACAAUAGAUGCUGGAGGAUGUACGUGAACCACCUCACUUCUUGGCUUCGCCCAGAAAUCAAGAAGGCUAUGUACGUUUACUGGGCCGAUGAGAGGUUCAGGCAUCGGUGUCUCACAAAGAAAGCUAACAAAGUAUUAGCCAGGUGCUCCAAGUAUACCGGCGGCUCAACAACUAAGACCAGGCUGUUAUAAACCCAUUUCCUCAAUGCUUCUCUUCUAGCAUCUUUUGUCUUUUCUUGUUGGGCCUCUCAGUUUCCCCUUUGUUCAAAUGCUCAACUUCAUCAGUAUGCACCCAACAUGCAGCAGAGCUCAAUAUUUUUGGGGGAUAUUCAACAUUGAUAUUUUCAAACGACAGCUCAAAAUGAAUGGCUUUCCGAGUUUCUUGAUCA